rnacentral:lncRNA from 1 species
GGCAGUGUCGCGGGUUGCAGAAGCGCGGUGGUGUCGCUGGGCGUCGGCGCUUGGGUCGUCGUGAGUCGGCGCGACGAUGGCUGGUGGAGACCGGCGAUGCGAGCGCAGCGCGGGUGAAGAGAAACUCACGAUUGGGCAGCAAAUGUGGGGAAGAAGAUGAACAGUAAAUGUCCCAUCACUUCUUCCCCUCUACUUUUGGCUUUUUCCUUUCCUUUUCACUUUUUCCCUCUGCAGCCGCACACUCUCCUCUGCUUUCGUACUCUCUCUUUCUCCUCUUUUUUUAUUUUCUUUACUUUUCAAUUUUUGACGAAAAGUAACCUUCCCUCCCCCGAAAGGUGAAGAAGAACCCCUCUAUUUAUAAAGCGAAAAUUCGAGUUUGUUUCGCCGGUAGAGAUUUUUGCUCAACCUCUCGCCGGUGGAGAUUUUCGCUCAAUUUCUCCAACAAAGAAAUGGCUCCAAAAUCCGACUGUUGAAUUAUUUUGAAUUCAAAAUUUCUUUUCAAAAUUUCCCUCUAAUCUUUUAUUUUCUAAAAAUUAAUCUAAAUUAGGUGUCAACAGGGAUGAAUUCCCUGGCCCUCACGGUUUUCUAACUCGGUUUAGCAAGGACGCUUUGUCAAUUGUGGGCAAGAUUUUACCUCUGCUGUCUUCGAUCUCUUUAGCACAUCUGAGUUGCUGAGGAAGGUCGAAAUGCCUGAUUUUCGACCCAUUUCUUGUUGCAUUACUCCUGACAAAUCCAUAAAUAAGUAUUGCCAAACAGACUGAAGGAGAAGUCUGCCUGCUUCCAUAAGUAAUAACCAGUCAGCUUCGGUGGAAGGGAUGGAAUGUCUCAGACCAAUGUUCUUUUAGACCAUGAUUUAGUAAAGAACGGUCAUAGGUUUGGCAUUCCUCCUCGAGGCAUGGUUAAAGUUGAUUUGGUGAUGGCUUUUUACUCAAUUAGUUGGGUCUUUUUUGUUAAGAUUUUGCUUAAACCUUCCUGGCAUGUUGCCAUCUUCUAUAUAUGGAAGGAGAGAAACGAUGCGUGUUGUAUAAUGAUAGUUCUCAUCAUGCUGGUAAAGUGCUCAGACGUGUGAAGUUUCUGAGUCGGACCCAUAUAUUUGGGCUCAGUCUCACGUUAACCGAGGUGAAGUUUUGGAAUUGCUUGAAUAGCAAGUUUUGAGAGAGAGAGAGAGAGAGAGAGAGAGAGAGAGAGAACGAGAGCAAUAGGGGUGAGCAGCAGUCUAGGGUCAACCCUGGACCGGCCCAACCCUGCCGGUCCUGGUCCGGUUCCUAAGGGGACUAGGUCGGUCCUUGGUCUUGAAAUUCCAGGACCAACACUGAACGGGUUGGCCCUCGGUCUUAAGAGUUUUGGGUCGGUUCAACCCUAGACCAACCCUGUAUAUUAUAUUAUAUUAUUUAUAAUUAUUUUAUAUAUUCAAACCUAAGUAAAAUGUCUAUUAUAUUAUAUUAUAUUGAGACGUUCUAUCAAUAGCACUAAUAGUAGUUUCAAUUUAAAACUUUUGUUGAGUAUUAAUUAUGUGUCGUUUGUUUUGUUUUCAGGUGUUUAGAAGUUCAAGUGAAUUAACAAGAUGUGAAGUUAUAUAUUCAUGGUUUAUAUUAAGUAUUUUGAACUUUUUAUGGUUUAAUUGUAUUUUACUAAUGAAUUUCAGCUGCACUUUGCUUUUCAAUUUGUGUCAAAUGGUAGAAGUUUUUGAAGAGUAGAGUAGUGCUGCAGUUGCGACGGUGAUUUGCUAGUCAAGUGGUGUGAAGCUCAUUUUUUGGUUGAGUGGACUCUACAUGAUCGAAUGCAAGAAAACACUUUUGCAUAUGGUGUUAUGAAUAUUAAAGAUAGAUGACUACAAGAACUUUCCAUCUUGUCCCAUAACUCGAUUUUUAGCAAGUAUGAAAUUUCGAUUACUGUGCCAUCUUAAAUUUGCUAAAUAUGUAUUGGUAUUUAUAGUUUAGUUGCACAAUGCUGCAUUGUCGAUGGAUGUGUAAUUUGAAUUUGUAGGUUUGCUUUUUUAGGGAGUAUAAAAAGUAAAACAAAAAAAUUAUCGAUCUGUCCCGGGUUGACCUUGGAACCCAACUGAACCCAUUGGGUCGGUCCGGUUUUUGGUCCCAAGCUCAAUAGAGUUGGUCCUCGGUCCUAAAAAUUGAGGACCGACAUUGUACGGGUUGGUCCUAGGGUUAGGGGAUGGCCUGAACCAACCUGAACCAUGCUCACCCCUAGAGAGCAAUAAGUUAGGCUAAGUCUAACAUAUUGAAAAGUGUUAGGCUGAAAGCCUUAAAAUCCUAUAUCCAUGUGACAAAAGCGGACCAUAUAAACUUUGUUUUACAAAGCCAUUUGACAUUUUAUGACCCCAUUUUCGUGGAAACAGUGAACUAUGUCGAGUGAUCAUCAAUGUGAGAUUGAGAUGCAGUGCAUUACAAGAGCAAUUUGACAUAUUAUGACCCCAUUUUCGUGGGAAUUGCUCCAAAGUUGAAGAGAAGCAAUUCAUCUUUCUAAAGCAGCGAAGCCGUUUGCAUCAUUUUUAGGCCUACAAUAUAAUUGGAUCCGGCAGACUCCCUUUUGGGGAGAGGACACGGUCAAUCUUCAUUACUCUUCAAUUUGCCAACAUUAUUUAAAAUUAGCCCUAACAAAAACCACCCAUCUAAAAGUAUAAUCUAAAAAUUAUAAUCCUAUAAAUGCAAAUUCUAAUUUACUAACCCUAAAUGCUCUAAUGCAAUAUUUAGAUUUUUAUGUACUUUUUGAUUUUGAUUUUGAUUUUUUUUUUAAUUUUUCCAAACAAGUAAUUAUUUUAAAAGAAUUAAGACAAGAAUUAAAAUAACCGAAAAAAUAAUCCGUUGUCUCACGGAUUAAAUUAACAAUUAUUUUAACUCUAUAACGAUUUAACAAUUGAAAUACUAUCAAAAUUCCUAAAAAUUAAAGUAAUUAAAAAAAAUGACCCGACGUCUUACGGGUCAAAUUAAUAAUUACCAUAAUUUGAGAUAAAGUACUUGCAGUUAAUACCUACGAGAUUUAUAAAAGAAAAGCACAUCUCAAUAUUCUAAAUUGAACAAUAAUAACAAAAUAAAUAAAAUAAAGAAAAGCAAACUACCUAAUUUGCUUUUCUCUUUUUCUUUUGUUUUUGUUUUUGUUUUUUUUGUUUCCUUCUAGUCACGUGCUCGUGAGUCUCUGGGUCACUGGGGAGCAACACGUCGUCGGACCAGCAGGGGGCUCCGACGAAGGUGAACCGGCGGUGGGCGAGCGGUGAAGAGGUGAAUCGGCGGUGGCUCGAAUCAGUACAGGAGCGGUUUCGUCGGCGGAACAGAGGUGGCGCGACGGUGGGCACUGGAUCUGCUGGCGUCGCAGGGGGUGGUCACGAACAGAGGUGCUGCAGCAUCACGGGGCAGAGCAGCGCGGGGAAACUUCAGGUGCAGGCGCUGAUCGGAAGCGGGGCCGUCGUGGGAUCUGCAGAGGGGCUCCGGCGUCGCUGGGUCGUUGGCGGGGCUUCGGGUGCGAGUCCGGCGUCGCGAGGGGAGGACACGAGCGGCGGACGGCGUCGGGUGCGGGUCUGCUCGGAAUUGGCUAGGCUGCGGGUUGUAGAGGCGCGGUCGUCGGGCUGCAACGGAGGUGCUGCAGGGGCGCAAUGGCGGAGCUAUCACCGGCGGCAGACGGAAAGCGGGGGAGGACGUCGGCGCUGCAGGCUGGCGUCACGGGAGGAGACUUGCGGCAGCGGUCGUUGCAGCAGGCGUCGGGACGAGCUCGCUGGUGCAGAGGUGCGGUCGUCGGGCGUCAGGCACCGGGUGGUCGCGGACGCAGCAACAGCGGAGGUGUGGGCCGGUUCGGGAUCGGCAGUGUCGCGGGUUGCAGAAGCGCGGUGGUGUCGCUGGGCGUCGGCGCUUGGGUCGUCGUGAGUCGGCGCGACGAUGGCUGGUGGAGACCGGCGAUGCGAGCGCAGCGCGGGUGAAGAGAAACUCACGAUUGGGCAGCAAAUGUGGGGAAGAAGAUGAACAGUAAAUGUCCCAUCACUUCUUCCCCUCUACUUUUGGCUUUUUCCUUUCCUUUUCACUUUUUCCCUCUGCAGCCGCACACUCUCCUCUGCUUUCGUACUCUCUCUUUCUCCUCUUUUUUUAUUUUCUUUACUUUUCAAUUUUUGACGAAAAGUAACCUUCCCUCCCCCGAAAGGUGAAGAAGAACCCCUCUAUUUAUAAAGCGAAAAUUCGAGUUUGUU